CGUAGGUGGCAAACGUUGUCCGGAUUUAUUGGGUUUAAAGGGUGCGUAGGCGGUUCUAUAAGUCAGUGGUGAAAUACUCCAGCUCAACUGGAGAGGUGCCAUUGAUACUGUAGGACUAGAGUACUGUUGAGGUAGGCGGAAUGGACGGUGUAGCGGUGAAAUGCUUAGAUAUCGUCCAGAACACCGAUAGCGAAGGCAGCUUACUAAAGAGUAACUGACGCUGAGGCACGAAAGUGUGGGGAUCAAACAGGAUUAGAUACCCUGGUAGUCCACACUGUAAACGAUGAUCACUAGAUGUUGGCGAUACACUGCCAGCGUUCCAGCAAAAGCGAUAAGUGAUCCACCUGGGGAGUACGCCCGCAAGGGUG
rnacentral:rRNA from 1 species